GAGUUUGAUCCUGGCUCAGGACGAACGCUGGCGGCGCGCCUAACACAUGCAAGUCGAACGGAGCUUAGAGAGCUUGCUUUUUAAGCUUAGUGGCGAACGGGUGAGUAACGCGUGAGUAACCUGCCCUAGAGUGGGGGACAACAGUUGGAAACGGCUGCUAAUACCGCAUAAGCGCACAGCAUCGCAUGAUGCAGUGUGAAAAACUCCGGUGGUAUAAGAUGGACCCGCGUUGGAUUAGCUAGUUGGUGAGGUAACGGCCCACCAAGGCGACGAUCAGUAGCCGGCCUGAGAGGGCGACCGGCCACAUUGGGACUGAGACACGGCCCAGACUCCUACGGGAGGCAGCAGUGGGGAAUAUUGCACAAUGGGCGAAAGCCUGAUGCAGCGACGCCGCGUGAGCGAAGAAGUAUUUCGGUAUGUAAAGCUCUAUCAGCAGGGAAGAUAAUGACGGUACCUGACUAAGAAGCACCGGCUAAAUACGUGCCAGCCGCCGCGGUAAUUC
rnacentral:rRNA from 1 species